CCCCUUGGCAAUGAAGAAUUCGUCUCCUAUGUGCUCACCGGGCUAGAUGAGUCCUAUGACUCGCUAGUCAAUUCCAUGACUACUCGUGUUGAGUCAAUCACCAUCAACGACUCCUUUGCACAUCUUCUAAGUCAUGAGA